rnacentral:rRNA from 1 species
UACGUAGGGUGCAAGCGUUGUCCGGAAUUAUUGGGCGUAAAGAGCGUGUAGGCGGCCAGGUAGGUCCGUUGUGAAAACUGGAGGCUUAACCUCCAGCUGUCGAUGGAAACCAUCUGGCUAGAGUCCGGAAGAGGCGAGUGGAAUUCCCGGUGUAGCGGUGAAAUGCGCAGAUAUCGUAAGGAAGACCAGUGGCGAAGGCGGGUCUCUGGACAGUUCCUGACGCUGAGGCACGAAGGCCAGGGGAGCAAACGGG